rnacentral:lncRNA from 1 species
UUCAUCAAAAAAAAGAAAAACUCAUUUUUCCUUCUUCCCCGAGGACACGCCGCCAUCGUCAUCUUCAUCCUCACUAAACCGGCGACCUCACCUUAACCCAUAACUCUAUUUUACUCUUUCUUUCCGCCUCAUUCUCUACUUUUGUUUCCAUUUCUUCAUCUUCUUCCAACUACAAUCCACACAGUGCAGAGAAUUCAUUUGCCGACCCUUUGGUUCAUAAAUAACACCGCCAACGUAGAACCACGAUCGGUUGUGAAGCACCUCAACGUCAUUCUCUUCAAGCUCGACGUCUCUUUGCCACAAACAACAUCAACUCAACAAGGACGAACAGAGUUAACGCGGUCUCGAUCCGAGCGGCGUAAUAACUUUCGAAUAAGGGGUACGAUCUCGAUUCAGAUCCGUUUUGGAUCUGUUUACACCUGUUUUAUUUACCGUUUCCUUUCCUAUGGACUUUGAUGGACUGUUGUAUCGGCACCGUUGAUUUUAUCACCAUGAUGCGCGUGUGUGUUGUUUUUCGUUGUAGGUUUUAUUGCGUUGCCAAAUCGAUAGUGUGAAUCGUGUUUCACACUCGAUUAAGUUUCAAUGCAUGCAUUCUAUUAAUUAUAGUUUUGUUUGGACAAUGCAUCAAUAGAACGAUGUAGUAGACUCAUUUGAGUUGUUGUUGUUGUUCAUGUAAAUUUAAUGUCGGUUUUAGAUUGGAAAGUUUGUUUAGAGUAUCAUUUUAUGACGACGAAGUUGUUCUGCACGUAGUAAAUGUUACGACUCUGCUUAGUAAUGUUUAAUGUUGCUAAUGUGGUUGAGAUUAAAUAUGGUAAAAGAAAACCAUGUUUGAAAUGAGUUUUUUUAAUCACUCAUGGAUCUGUCAUAAAACAAUAUGUUGGCAUCCCAACAUUUUAAUCACUCACGGUUCAUCGAAAGAGUACUUUGGUUUGCA